GACGAACGCUGGCGGCGUGCUUAACACAUGCAAGUCGAACGGAAAGGCCCUGCUUUUGUGGGGUGCUCGAGUGGCGAACGGGUGAGUAACACGUGAGUAACCUGCCCUUGACUUUGGGAUAACUUCAGGAAACUGGGGCUAAUACCGGAUAGGAGCUCCUGCUGCAUGGUGGGGGUUGGAAAGUUUCGGCGGUUGGGGAUGGACUCGCGGCUUAUCAGCUUGUUGGUGGGGUAGUGGCUUACCAAGGCUUUGACGGGUAGCCGGCCUGAGAGGGUGACCGGCCACAUUGGGACUGAGAUACGGCCCAGACUCCUACGGGAGGCAGCAGUGGGGAAUAUUGCACAAUGGGCGGAAGCCUGAUGCAGCAACGCCGCGUGCGGGAUGACGGCCUUCGGGUUGUAAACCGCUUUCGCCUGUGACGAAGCGUGAGUGACGGUAAUGGGUAAAGAAGCACCGGAUAACUACGU
rnacentral:rRNA from 1 species